rnacentral:rRNA from 1 species
CCUACGGGUGGCAGCAGUGAGGAAUAUUGGACAAUGGACGGAAGUCUGAACCAGCCAUGCCGCGUGCAGGAUGACGGCUCUAUGAGUUGUAAACUGCUUUCGUGUUAGGGUAAACACCCCUACGUGUAGGGGCUUGACAGUAUAAUACGAAUACGGAUCGCCUAACUACGUGCCAGCAGCCGCGGUAAUACGGAGGGGCCAAGCGUUGUCCGGAUUUGUUGGGUGUAAAGGGUGCGUAGGCGGUUUGAUAAGUUAGAGGUGAAAUACCGGUGCUCAACACCGGAACUGCCUCUAAUACUGUUGAACUAGAGAGAAGUAGCGGUAGGCGGAAUGUAUGGUGUAGCGGUGAAAUGCGUAGAGAUC